rnacentral:tRNA from 1 species
CUAGAAACUUAGGAUAUGUUAAACCAGUGGCCUUCAAAGCCAUCAAAAAGAUUCACCUCUUAGUUUCUG